CCUACGGGAGACAGCAGUAGGGAAUAUUGCUCAAUGGGGGAAACCCUGAAGCAGCAAAGCCGCGUGAGGGAUGAAGGUUUUAGGAUUGGAAACUCCUUUUUGGAGAGAAGAUAAAGACGGUAUCUCACGAAUAACCACCGGCUAACUCAGUGCCAGCAGCCGCGGUAAUACGGAGGGUGCAGGCGUUACUCGGAAGCACUGGGCGUAAAGAGUGCGCAGGCGGGUUUGUAAGUCAGAUGUGAAAUGCUGUAGCUUAACUACAGAACUGCAUUUGAAACUAUGAGUCUAGAGUGUGGGAGAGGUAGGUGGAAUUCUUGGGGUAGGGGGAAAAUCCGUAGAUAUCAAGAGGAAUACUCAUUGCGAAGGCGACCUACUGGAACAUUACUGACGCUCAUGCACGAAAGCGUGGGGAGCAAACAGGAUUAGAUACCCUAGUAGUC
rnacentral:rRNA from 1 species